rnacentral:tRNA from 1 species
UGGGGAGUCGUCUAAUGGUAGGACUUAAGGUUCUGGACCUUACUAUCAUGGUUCGAAUCCAUGCUCCCCAG